CAGUAACCCUCAAGCAAAGAGACCUUUAGUUUGAAACCCCGAAACCAAGUGAGCUACCCCGAGACAGCCUAUUUAGGGCCAACCCGUCUCUGUGGCAAAAGAGUGGGAAGAGCUCCGGGUAGAGGUGAUAGACCUACCGAACUUGGUGAUAGCUGGUUGCCUAAGAAGUGGAUAGAAGUUCAGCCUCGUACACCCCCUAGUCAAACAAGUAAAUCUAAACUAGACGCAGAGAAAGACACGAGAGUUAGUUAUAGGGGGUACAGCCCCUUUAACCAAGGAUACAACCUUAACAGGAGGAUAAGGAUCACAUUUAGCAAAACUAGCCGUUUUAGUGG
rnacentral:rRNA from 1 species